UUUACACAGUUUUUCAAAAAUGUUCUACGAUUUAUGCAAAAUUUUUCUAUGACUUACUCAAAACUUUUUCAAUUAACAAAUAAUGUUAAAACGAUUUUACUCAAUAAUGUUAAACAAACAUAUUGUACUACGAUUUACUAAAAUAUUUUGUUCUUCACAAUGAACACAAGAAUAAUGUUUUCUUGAAAUUCUUUUUCUACGAUUCUACGAUUUAAAAGAAAGUUAACCUUAUGUAUUACGAUAUCGAGAAUUUUAGACAAAUCUUCUGCCGAAGCUUCAAUCGCAAAUUUUCAAUUGUGCGAUUGAAUUAAGAGGGGAGGUGUCACAUGCCACGUGUGUGACCUCUAAGUAACCUUAGACCAGACCUGUUACCAAGCAAACUUGACAAACACCCAUCGAUGAGCAAUCUUUUUACAACCCUAUUACGUCGAUACACGGAUGUGAUCUGGGUAUAUAAGGCCCUAAAUUUGGAUCCAAAAGUCAGUAUCUAGUCAGCAUCCAGUCAGUAUCUAAUUUAAAUCAAACCGAUCGACAUCAUCUCUGUACCAGUAGUCAGUGCGAAUCUUUACUCGUUACCUACGAUUAUCCCAGUCUAAGUAAUACCCAUCUCGUGUGAGACCAACCCGUUGUCAAAUCUCCAAGCAGUAAAAAUUGGAAAGGCGGUGCAUCUGAACUGACUGUGGACGCACGAGCGGAGAACGGGUUUUCAACUUCACAAAGAAGCAAUAAAGGUGUUUAUUGGAACUGGUCUUCUCUCGGCAACAUACAAAUAAAGAACUUCAAGAAAUCAUUAUAUACUAUUUUAUAAUAAAUUUCAUUUUAACUAAUUCUUAACUUUUAUUCAUUGAUUCUUUUUCCUCAUUCCCAAAUAAGAUUUCUUCGGAAUUUCUUAUUUAAAACGAGGAUAACAAAUGUUAAGAGAUCGGAGUAUAUACGCAUUGCACACAACAUUAAAAUUCCGGUGGAGUGGAUUUACUGCAUGGAACGAAAUUCUAUGUUGGAAAUAUGUAAUAAUGCGAUCACAGUUUAUAAUAUGAGUAAUGUUGGAAGUGAUCUUUAUGAUAUAAAUAUCAUUACUAUCAACGGUGGAAUCACCACUCGUCUUGUAAAAGAGA